CGCACUGCGCCUGGGCACACCGGCUCACACGGCGGCUCGGGACGUGCACAGGAAGCCCCCAGCGCCCCUGCUGACCGCCGCCACCUCCCCAGCCGUGCCGCCGGACCCCGGACCCACCGAUCCCCCCCUCCCGCUGUGCAGACAGCCCCGCUCCGUUCCCUCCUGUCGUCGGGGGUGCAGCCUCCCCGCCAGCUCUGCCCCCUCCGCACAGCCGGAACGCUUCAUUUUCACGCCCCUACCCAUCUCCAAGACAAACAACCCGUAACCCUCCACCCCACGGCUCCCAGCGGGGCUGACCCAUACACUCUAAUCCCACUGGUACCUAUUUGGCUUCCUCUGUCCUGCUCCUGGUUAUGCUCCUCACAUCCAGCUCACGGUCUAACCCUAACAGCUCCCCUCUACCAAAACACCCCAGAGACCCCCUCUUUUAAUCUCCUCCCUCCCACCUUGGCUGCCCAUAGUUGCCUUCCUCCAACACUCACCCUAAACUGCCCCCCAGAUCCCAGCUCAGACGUAACGCACUUUUCCCCAUCCCUCGAGGCAAUCAAUCACACACCAUCCACUGCUGCCUAAAUCGCGAAGGACAGAAACCACAAAAUUAUCGUCUUUACACAACUGCUUCUUUCUCCGCAUGGCAAGGGUAGAAGACAGUAUGCUGGAAGGAAGGAAAGAGGUGUGCUGGAAGCAACUGUGAUUUGAAACUCCACGCCGCCCAAGAGCGGCGUACAGGAAAUCUCUGCCCCACGUAGUCACACUUGUGUAAAUUAUUUUCAGUGUUAGGCUUUGCCUACCUCAGCCACCUGAUGAGCCUCCAAGGCACAGCUUGUGGACGACACAGGAACAGUUAUUACAUGAUUGUGGGUUUAACAAACCCGUAGUGGCACACUGUAAGCCUCCCAUGCCUUACACUACUGACAAGCAGCAUAUACACCAAGUUCCAGUGGAGUUUCCACCAUAUCAUCAUACUUGAGGCAGAAACUGUGGCCCUGGCACAAGAUGGCUGCUGUUACCAGCUGAACAAGGGUAAACCAAAUCACACUAUUAUUCUAGACCAACCUGAAGCUGGGUCUACAAAGAAAUCUUGUGUGAUUGCUUACAUAUAGUAACACACGCUACAGUUGCAGCAAAAAGAAACAAGGCAGCCUUCAGGAAAGCUCUUUGCUUGAUGAGGGCAUCACAGCCUCCCUGCACCUUCUCAGUAUGUUCCUUUGAAGCACCUUCAAGAAGCAAUUUUGUCUUUGCUCAAUCCCCUUCUAACUAGGAGAAACUUUUUGUCCUGCCACCUUUUCUCUCCACAUCCUCCAUUCACAAAUGGCAUGUUCUGCAUUUAUGCUUCCCUUCUGGCACUUUUUCUCACUCAUCCCAUUUGCCUUUUGAAACAACAAUAGUGCUUUCUCAAACUUCAUUCCCAGCAAUGUACUAAGACUGCUUGAUCUCCCUCUGGCUUUCAUGUAGGGGUAACACACAGACCACAGCCCAGGAGCCCCAGGAUCUGACCUGGUAUGAUCUUCACCACAGGUAAUGAAGUCUCCUGAUGCGUUCAAGCUAGCCCAAGUUCAGGGCCUGCGACUUCAUUGCACCAAUUUAACUGCACACUAACCCCACUGGGUAAUUUUAGAAGAAUCCUACCUGCGUUUUGAUUGAAGUCCCAAGCAAGUGCAACAUUUCCACUCAUCAGAUAGAUGAGAUGAGCAGGAAAACAUUCUCUCAGAGCCUCUAAGCUUAUGAUAAUAAGUUGCACUUCAGGAUCAGCUGCACUCACUGCAUUUGGACAGAAUAAGCAAAACUGAUGCAAUCAAAAUUCUGGAGGGUAAUAUCCCAGACAAAUCUCUCUCAAGUUGCACACCUGUUGGUCUUGGGCUACAGCCUUUGCUAUAUACUAGGAAGCCGUGCUGUAUACUAGGUACUAGUAUAUACUAGGUUUUGGCUGUGGUACAGUUCAUUUUCUUCAUAGUAACUGGUAUGAGGCUACAUUUUGGAUUUGUGCUGAAAUACUGUUGAUUACACAGGGAUGUAUUAUCAGUUACUGCUGAGCAGUGCUUACACAGUGUAAAGGCUUUUUCUGCUUCUCACCCCACCUGUGAGUAGGCUGAGGCUGCACAAGAAGUUGAGAAGGGACACAGCCAGGACAGCUGACCCCAACUGAUCCAAGGGAUAUUUCACAUCACACAGUGGAACCCUGCUUUCCUGGGGACGGCUGAACACCUGCCUGCAGCUGGGAAGUCGUGAAUGAAUUCCGUGGAUUGUUUUGCUUGCAUGUUGACAGGGCUCUGGGCCAGGCCUCCGCUUGCUCCUGUGGUUCAGGACGAAAGCCAAUAAAAAAAUUACUGCUACCCAUGUGAGAAGCAAUACUUGUGUAUUGUCUGUGAGACAAGUGCCAAAUGAAGCAGAUAAGCGAUUACAGCAGAAAGAACAUUUCCCUCUGGCAGUCUCUCUCCUUAAUUCCAAAGUAACAAUGCUGGAGCUAAGGUUUAACAAAAUGGUUGAGUUAAUCCCUGCUGUCUGCAGGUGACUGUUAACCGCUCUCUCAUAGGCCCUUGUCUGACACCUUGAGCUAUUUCAGCUCCCUGAAGCAAGAGUAAAAUAUUCACCUUUUUAGCAGCGUAACUGGGAAGCAGCAGUUUGGUGCAAUGAAUCCUAAGCACAGUUUCUUCUCGUACCUAUACCAGUGUUACAGUUAGCACCUACUGAAAAGAGCAGCCCCACUUCACCUCCCUUCCAGGUGUGCCUUCCUGUCUCCUUCUUUGUACAGCAUUCCUGCUUUUGGAGGGUGAACUUUCUGCAAGUUAGCUUUCUGAACUGAGUCACUGCUGGACCAGGCAAGAGCCAGUGCUGGCAUCAGGGAAGUGGAAGGAACUCCCAGCCUGGAAGAAGAAGGAGGACAAGAUCAGGAUGGCUCCCCUUUUGCCGAGACUGCCAUUAGCUCAGCCUUAGCUGCAAAAUGAAGCAAUGCUCUGACCCCAGCAGCACUUGAGAACUCAGUUCUGCAGGGUCCAAAACAAUCCUGUCCUUGACAGAGUUGCACAUGACAAAUGACUGAUCUGUUUUAACCACAGCCUUAGGCAGAUGCAUUUCAUGCUCUUCCUCUCCCCUUAAGUUUUCAGCCUUCACCUUCACGUUCUACCCAGCUCUACUUCUAGGGAAGAAGCAGGACAUUAUCUCUUUGCCCUAUCACCUCUGCUGCCUCAUGCUUCUCCCCAGUUUCUUUUUGUCCUCAAGCUUCUGAUUAAAAACAAACCCCCCACCUAGCUGGGUGUUCUUUGGAGAGAGGUGUGUUACAUCUCCCUUGCCUAACCACAAUAUACCGUCCUGUUCCUUGAAUUGAGUAACACUGAGCAAAAUGGCAGCUAGUCCCUGACACAGAGUAAGCCUGGGUCCAGGCCUGUGAGCAGGGAAAGAACUGUGCUAGUUAUUUCUUGCUUAGGACAAGACUUAAAGAACAACUACUACAGCAAAUUAUGCUUUUUGUGCUAUCAUCAAGCUACAGUCUAAGCCCUGUUAAUGCCAUUAUUUGCCUGUGGUAUUGGUAGGUAGAAAGGCUUGUUGCUGUGACUUUGCAGUCAUGCCAUGUUAUAAACAGUAAUGCUUGCAGGUAAAUAAAGUGGAAAAAUCUGAACCUAA